rnacentral:lncRNA from 1 species
CAGACAUUUUAUUUAUUUUAUUUUUAUUUGCUGUAGAGAUGAGGUCUCACCAUGUUGCCCGGGCUGGUUUCAAACUCCUGGCCCCAGGCAGUCCUCCCACAGGGAAACUCAGACAUUGUAAUAACUGCUGGCAAGCAUGGACAAAGGAAAUUCAUAAACACACCUAGAUUAACAGUCAUUUUAAUACUGAGGUAGUCAGUGUUUUCACAGAAUUACAGGUAAAGAUGGUAACCACGUUUUCAUUCCUGAGUUAAACAAGAAAGUACUCACGUGGCAUGAUAAAGAAUCCCUCCUCUAAACCAAUAACCAACAUCAAAAUUAGCAGUGGAAUCAUAAAGUCAUGUGUGAUAGAUGUUUCCAUUAAUGUCCCAGUAAGUCAGACUUUCCAGCAUCCGUGCUCUUGCUAGUUCCCUCCCAUAUUGACGUUGGUUUGGCUUUUGCUUUGCCUUUUGACCUCUUCUACAUCCCCUCAUUCACUCUGCUACUGCUAAACAGGUUAGCGGUGUCAGAAGGGUCUUCCCUCUAUCUGUUCGGUGCCUGGAACAUUCUUGCCCAGAUAUUUGCAUAGGAGCACAGCUGGCUCCCUCAUCUUUUAUUCAGGUCACCUCACGAGGCCACUCCUGUCUAUUUUAAAGCUGCAAGCUUCUUGGUUGCAGUUUUUUUUUCUUUUUGAGACAGGGUCUUGCUCUGUCACCCAGGCUGGAGUGCAGUGGCAUGAUCACGGCUCACUGCAGCCUCAACCCCCCAGGCUCAUGUGAUCCUACCACUUUGGCCUCCAGAGUAGCUGGGACUACAGGUAUAGGCCACCACGCCUGGCUAAUGUUUGUAUUUUUAGUAGAGGUGGGGUUUCACCACCAGAGGUGGGGUUGCCCAGGCUGGUCUCAAACUCCUGACCUCAGGUGAUCAGCCCGCCUCGGCCUCCCAAAGUGCUGGGAUUACAGGUGUGAGCCACCACACCCAGCCAGUCCUCUUUGUCUUAACCUUCACAAGGAAACUUUGAAAUGAUACCCACUUUUUGUUACUGCUUUCCUCAGGCCUUUUCUGUCUUUAAAACCAACCUCUUCUGCUCAGCUUAUUGAACGCUCAUUGUGGGGCCAGGGGCCUAAACUCAUGCCUGUAAUCCCAGCACUUUGGGAGGCCAGGGUUGGCAGAUUGCUUGAGUCCAGGACUUCGAGACCAGCCAGGGCGACAUGGCAAAACCUUGUCUCUACAAAAAAAACUAGCUCUACCCCAAAAACUAGCUGAGUGUGGUGGCACACACCUACCAUCCCAGCUACUGGGGAGGCUGAGGCAAAAGGAUCACUUUAGCCAGGGAGUUGGAGGCAGGAGUGUGCUGAGAUUGCAAUACUGUGCUCCAGCCUGGGCAACAGUGAGACCAUAUCUCAAAAAAAGAGGAAACACUCAUUCUGUUUCACAGAAUGGUUUAGAGAAUGGUGUGUUGCCUGAUUCUAUGAUCACAAGUCAGUUAAGAUCUUUAAAGUAAAUAUUAUUGUCUUUUGGUAAUAGCAAUUAUCACCAUGUAAUGUACUACUUUAAAUUUAUUGUUUAUUGGCUCCUCCACCUCCUCAGCACAGGUACUUUGUGUUUGUUUUCUCAUUUUUUUUUUUUGAGACAGAGUUUCGCUCUUGUUGCCCAAGCUGGAGUGCAAUGUCGUGAUCUCGGCUCACUGCAACCUGUUUCCUGGGUUCAAGUGAUUCUCCUGCCUCAACCUCCCAAGUAGCUGGGAUUACAGGCAUGUGCCACCACGCCCAGCUAAUUUUGUAUUUUUAGUAGAGACAGGGUUUCUCUCUGUUGGUUCUGCUGGUCUCUAACUACUGACCUCAGGUGAUCCGCCCGCCUCUGCCUCCCAAAGUGCUGGGAUUACAGGCGUGAGCCACCGCACCCAGCCAUACUUUUGUUUUAUACUCUGUUGUACCCUCAGCCUAGCACACAUUAGGCACCUAGGAAGAAUUUGAGAAACGAAUCAAUUAAUCUCCACUUUACCAAUAAUGAGCAAGAACAGAAAUUAGGGCCGGGCGCGGUGGCUCACGCCUGUAAUCCCAGCAUUUUGGGAGACCAAGGCAGGUGGAUGAUUUGAGGUCAGGAGUACUAGACUAGACUGGCCAAUAUGAUGAAACCCUGUCUCUAGUAAAAAUACAAAAAUUAGCCGGGUGCGGAGGCUCACACCUGUAAUCCUAGCACUUUGGAAGGCCAAGGCGGGCGGAUCACUUGAGGUCACGAUUCCAAACCAGCCUGGCCAACAUGGUGAAACCCCGUCUCGACUAAAAAUACGAAAAAAUUAGCUGGGCAUGGUGGCGGGCGCCUAUAAUUCCGGCUACUCGAGAGGCUGAGGUGGGAGAAUCGCUUGAACCUAGGAGGCGGAGUUUGCAGUGAGCCGAGAUCACACCACUGCACUCCACUCUGGGUGACAGAGCGCGACUGUCUCAAAAAAGAAAAAAAGAAGACUGAAAAAUUGGGCAACCUGUCCAAGAACACCACAGCGACAAUUAGCAAAGCUGGGAUUCCAACCCAGGUCUAUCUAAGAGCCACAGCAUUGUAUUUUCUUUUCUUUCUUUCUGUGACUGCACCUUUCACCAUAGAUGGCAUCCAGGACUCAGAGCAAUCAGCAUGUAGCUACUGUUUUUAAUAUUCCUUACAUGGGAAUCACAUAAAGAAAGUAAACAGUAUCCAAUUUGUGACUCAACCAUUCAUACUUUGUGACACUGGUUAAUUAUUUCACUUCUGGGUCUCAGUUACGCUUUUUUUUUUUUUUUUUCUUUUUGAGACAGGGUCUCGCUCUGCUCUGUCACCCGGGCUGGAGUUCAGUGGAGGGAUCUCUGCACCCUCAACUUCCUGGGCUAUCAAGCGAUCCUCCCACCUCAGCCUCCCCAGUAGUUGGGACCACAGGUGCCCGCCAUCAUGCCCGGCUGAUUUGUAAAAUUUCUUUUGUAGAGAUGGGGGCUCUCCCUCUGUGGCCCAGGGUGGUCUCGAACUCCUGGCCUCAAGCGAUCCUCCUGCCUGGGCCUCCUAAAGAUUCAGCUGCUUUUGGAUCAAACGAUUGGCUUAAGACCCUUUAACUCGAACACCUGUCACAUCCUAGGAUCCGCGAAGGACUGAAACAGAGUUUCUGAAGCGUCCCUCGGCGCAGUGGCUCCGCUCCACCUCCCAUUCGCGCUUCCACCGUGGCCUCGGCUCCAGGAGUCGCCGCGGUGCCGGCGUCGCCCUCCCGCUGCUGCGCAUCGGGAGCCGGAAGUAGGGACUGAGCCACAGACUAGGAAACGUUGGUUUCUCCGGGGCUCCCCAGCGCCCCAGCUUUAGCGCGGAGGCUACCCUCUUCUAUUUGCUCUUGGGCGUCAGAGCGGCACCCUACUCUGUGUAAGCCUUUGGAUCCCGCUCGCACUUCCUCCCGUCAUCAGCCAAAGGCCCCGGAAGUGAUGUUUGCGCGCCGUGCGUUACGGGCGUGCGCUGGCGGUGCCGGGGGGGCGGGGCAAGCAGGGGGUGUGUGUGAGGCUGGAGCGGACUGGGGAACCCAGACCUGCCGAGCGACGUGGGCGAGCGGUGACCUGGACCACGGCGCAGACGCGGGCGAGCUGCGGCUCGGACGCCAGCGGACACGCGGGCGAGGGCCUUGGGAACUCCAAGACAGAAUGGCCCGAGGCCUGGACACUCUCUGAGGACAUCUCUGCAAAGGCCCCAGCGGCCCAGGCCAGUGGGAUGCGGGCUGCUGGCCCUGUCCAGACUCUCAUACUGUGGGGCAGGGUUGCAGAGGCCCCUCCCUGGGUUUGCUCUGGGGUGGCAGAGAGCCAUUGUGAGUCAGUUCAGUGUGGUGGGCAGCGCUGUCUUGCAGCCCAAGGAAGCCGUCCUGGAGGAGGGAGCCUGACCCUCCAGCUGGGCUUGAAUGAGGAAGAGGCUAGAUAGAGGCCUGGCAGUGGGGCAGGGGUGGGGACUGUUUGUGAGCAGCCGUGUGGCAGGUAUGAUAGGAAGAAGGACUGGAGGGGUAGACAGGCACUGCCAUCCAUAGCCUGGAAAGUGUCACCAACAGGGCAGGAUUUCAUCCGAGAAGUAACAGGGAGGCUGGGCACAGUAGCUCAGGCCUGUAAUCUCCACGCUUUCAGAGGCUGAGGCAAGAAGAUGGCUUGAGCCCAGGCGCUUGAGACUAGCCUAGGCAACAUAGCGAGACCUCCACCUCUGCAAAAAAAUUUAAAAAAUUAGCCAGGCAUGGUGGCGCACACCAGUAGCCCCAGCUACUAGGGAGGCUGAGAUGGGAGGAUCUGAGCCCAGGAGGUUGAGGCUGCAGGGAGCUGUGAUUGUACCAGCACACUCCAGCCUGGAGGACAGAGCGAGACUCUGACUCUUUUUUUUUUUUUUUUUUUAAUUUUUUGAGACAGAGUUUCGCCCUUCUUGCCCAGGCUGGAGUGCAAUGGUGUAGUCUCAGCUCACUGUAACCUCCACCUCCUGGGUUCAAGCAAUUCUCCUGCCUCAGCCACCCAAGUAGCUGGGAUUACAGGUGCCUGCCACCACCCCCAGCUAAUUUUUGUAUUUUUAGUAAAUACAAGGUUUCACCAUGUUGGCCAGGCUGGUCUUGAACUCACGACCUCAGGGAUCCACCCACCUCAGCCUCAUUUAUAUUGAUUUGUAGGAGCUAUUUAUAGAUUCUGGAUACAAGUUCUUUAUCAGAUAUAUGGUUUGUGACUAUUUUCUUAUAAGUCUGUGGUUUGUUUAUUAAUUUUUUUAUUGAUGACUGUUUUUAAAAAUUGUGGUUAAGUAUACAUGACAUAAAACGGAUCAUCUUAACCAUUUUCAAAUGUAAAAUUCAGUGGCAUUAAGUACAUCCACAAUAUUGUGCAAAUAUCAUCACUACCAUCAACUCAAAAAGGGCAGGGCAUCCAAUACCCAUUAAGCUGUCACUCCCCAAUCUCCCAUUUUCCCAGCCCUGACAAUCACUAAUCCACUUUCUGUCUAUAUGGAUUUGCCUAUUUGGAUAUUCAUAUUAAUAGAAUCAACAGUAGGUCACUUUUUGUGUUUAGCUUUUUUCACUUGGCAUAAUGUUUUCAAGGUUCAUGCACUUUGCAGAAUGUAUCAAAAUUUCAUUCCUCUUUAGGGUUGGAUAAUAUUUCAUUGUAUGGAUAGACCACAAUUUGUUUAUCCAUUCAUCCAUUGGUGGAUAUUUGGGUGGCUUCCACCUUCUGGCUAUUGUUUUGUUUGUGUGUGUGUGUGUGUGUGUGUGUGUGUGUGUGUGUGUGUGUCAGCUCCUUUAGGGUCUGACUUUUGGGUAUUUUGAAUAGUACCUCUGUGAACCUUCAUCUACAAGUUUUUGUGUGAACUCAUGUUUUCAGUUCUCUUGGGUAUAUAUCUAGGAGUGGAAAUACUGGGUCACAGGGCAAUUCUAUGCUUUUUGAGGAGCUGCCACACUGUUUUUCACGGAGGCUGCACCAUUUUGGAUUCCCACCAGCAACAUAUGAGAACUCCGAUUUCUCCAGACCCUCAACAAAAUUUAUCUUUCAUUUUUUGAUUAUAGUCAUCUUCAUGGGUAUGAAGUGGUGUCUUAUUGUGGUUUUCACUUACAUUUCACUAAUGAUUAAUGAUGUUGAACAGAUUUUCAUGUGCUUUUUGCCAAUUUGUAUUUUUUCCUUAUAGAAAUGUCUAUUCAAGUCUUUUGUCAAUAUUUUCA